rnacentral:rRNA from 1 species
AACGCUGGCGGCAGGCCUCAUACAUGCAAGUCGAACGAGAAAGUAUCUUCGGAUACGAGUACAGUGGCGGACGGGUGAGUAAUACAUAGGAAUCUACCCAAUGGAGGGGGAUAGCUCGAGGAAACUCGAAUUAAUACCGCAUAAUCUCCACGGAGUAAAGAGGGCUUCGGCUCUCGCCAUCGGAUGAGCCUAUGCAGGAUUAGCUUGUUGGUGAGGUAAAGGCUUACCAAGGCGACGAUCCUUAGCUGGUUUGAGAGGAUGACCAGCCACAUCGGGACUGAGACACGGCCCGGACUUCUACGGAAGGCAGCAGUAGGGAAUAUUGGACAAUGAGCGAAAGCUUGAUCCAGCCAUGCCGCGUGUGCGAUGACGGCCCUCGGGUUGUAAAGCACUUUAGGUAACGAGGAAAAGUUAGGUGUUAAUACCAUCUAACCUUGACGUUAAUUACAGAAUAAGCACCGGCUAAAUCC